rnacentral:rRNA from 1 species
AACGAACGCUGGCGGCAGGCUUAACACAUGCAAGUCGAGCGCGUGUCGCAAGACACGAGCGGCAGACGGGAGAGUAACACGUGGGAACGUACCCUUUGGUUCGGAACAACCCAGGGAAACUUGGACUAAUACCGGAUAAGCCCUUACGGGGAAAGAUUUAUCGCCAAAGGAUCGGCCCGCGUCUGAUUAGCUAGUUGGUGAGGUAACGGCUCACCAAGGCGACGAUCAGUAGCUGGUCUGAGAGGAUGAUCAGCCUCACUGGGACUGAGACACGGCCCAGACUCCUACGGGAGGCAGCAGUGGGGAAUAUUGGACAAUGGGCGCAAGCCUGAUCCAGCCAUGCCGCGUGGGUGAUGAAGGCCCUAGGGUUGUAAAG